GAGCGGACAGAUGGGAGCUUGCUCCCUGAUGUUAGCGGCGGACGGGUGAGUAACACGUGGGUAACCUGCCUGUAAGACUGGGAUAACUCCGGGAAACCGGGGCUAAUACCGGAUGGUUGUUUGAACCGCAUGGUUCAAACAUAAAAGGUGGCUUCGGCUACCACUUACAGAUGGACCCGCGGCGCAUUAGCUAGUUGGUGAGGUAACGGCUCACCAAGGCAACGAUGCGUAGCCGACCUGAGAGGGUGAUCGGCCACACUGGGACUGAGACACGGCCCAGACUCCUACGGGAGGCAGCAGUAGGGAAUCUUCCGCAAUGGACGAAAGUCUGACGGAGCAACGCCGCGUGAGUGAUGAAGGUUUUCGGAUCGUAAAGCUCUGUUGUUAGGGAAGAACAAGUACCGUUCGAAUAGGGCGGUACCUUGACGGUACCUAACCAGAAAGCCACGGCUAACUACGUGCCAGCAGCCGCGGUAAUACGUAGGUGGCAAGCGUUGUCCGGAAUUAUUGGGCGUAAAGGGCUCGCAGGCGGUUUCUUAAGUCUGAUGUGAAAGCCCCCGGCUCAACCGGGGAGGGUCAUUGGAAACUGGGGAACUUGAGUGCAGAAGAGGAGAGUGGAAUUCCACGUGUAGCGGUGAAAUGCGUAGAGAUGUGGAGGAACACCAGUGGCGAAGGCGACUCUCUGGUCUGUAACUGACGCUGAGGAGCGAAAGC
rnacentral:rRNA from 1 species